GCCCGCACAAGCGGCGGAGCAUGUGGAUUAAUUCGAUGCAACGCGAAGAACCUUACCAUAGGGCUUGACAUAGCACUGGAAACCGGCAGAGAUGCCGGCCCCCUUGUGGCCGGUGUACAGGUGGUGCAUGGCUGUCGUCAGCUCGUGUCGUGAGAUGUUGGGUUAAGUCCCGCAACGAGCGCAACCCUUAUCCUAUGUUGCCAGCGCGUAAUGGCGGGGACUCGCGGGAGACUGCCGGGG
rnacentral:rRNA from 1 species